rnacentral:snRNA from 1 species
AGAACUGGUCAGUGAGGCUGCAAGGCAGCGACACUGUCACCCCACUAAUUCUGCUGAUCUGGCUGGCUAGGUGGGUGUUCCUGUCCUCUGUCAGUGCUCCACAUGUAUCCCUCCCAAAGUUGCAUGCUCAUUCAAAGAGAACAGCCACCCAUAUAGAAGAGGGCCAUUUCCCCACUUAAGGGCAUACAAGGAGCUGUGCUUCCCUGCUAGAACUUCCAAUCAAGCUCUCAAAUCUGGCCAGUGAAAGAGGAUUCCUUCAGCUGCUUUCCAUCCAAGAAAGUGCCCGCACUUUUAUACUCUU